rnacentral:rRNA from 1 species
UACGUAGGUGGCAAGCGUUGUCCGGAUUUAUUGGGUUUAAAGGGUGCGUAGGCGGUCUUUUUAAGUCAGUGCUGAAAUAUCCCGGCUUAACCGGGAGGGUGGCAUUGAUACUGAAGGACUUGAGUAAAGUUGAGGUUGGCGGAAUUGACGGUGUAGCGGUGAAAUGCUUAGAUAUCGUCAAGAACACCGAUAGUGCAGACAGCUAACUAAGCU